rnacentral:rRNA from 1 species
GACGAACGCUGGCGGCGUGCCUAAUACAUGCAAGUAGAACGCACAGUUUAUACCGUAGCUUGCUACACCAUAAACUGUGAGUUGCGAACGGGUGAGUAACGCGUAGGUAACCCGCCUGGUAGCGGGGGAUAACUAUUGGAAACGAUAGCUAAUACCGCAUAAUAUUAAUUAUUGCAUGAUAAUUGAUUGAAAGAUGCAAUUGCAUCACUACCAGAUGGACCUGCGUUGUAUUAGCUAGUAGGUGAGGUAACGGCUCACCUAGGCGACGAUACAUAGCCGACCUGAGAGGGUGAUCGGCCACACUGGGACUGAGACACGGCCCAGACUCCUACGGGAGGCAGCAGUAGGGAAUCUUCGGCAAUGGACGAAAGUCUGACCGAGCAACGCCGCGUGAGUGAAGAAGGUUUUCGGAUCGUAAAGCUCUGUUGUAAGAGAAGAACGGGUGUGAGAGUGGAAAGUUCACACUGUGACGGUAUCUUGCCAGAAAGGGACGGCUAACUACGUG